rnacentral:tRNA from 1 species
GGAGAGGUGUCCGAGUGGUUUAUGGAGCUGGUCUUGAAAACCAGUGAUCCCGCGAGGGACCAAGAGUUCGAAUCUCUUCCUCUCCGCCA